rnacentral:rRNA from 1 species
AAAAGAACCCCGGGAGGGGAGUGAAAUAGAUCCUGAAACCGCAUACAUACAAACAGUAGGAGCCUCGUUAAGGGGUGACUGCGUACCUUUUGCAUAAUGGGUCAGCGACUUACGUUUAAUGGCGAGCUUAACCGUAUAGGGGAGGCGCAGCGAAAGCGAGUUCGAACAGAGCGUUCAGUCGUUAGGCGUAGACCCGAAACCAGAUGAUCUAUCCAUGGCCAGGUUGAAGGUGUGGUAACACACACUGGAGGACCGAACCGACUAGUGUUGCAAAAUUAGCGGAUGAGCUGUGGAUAGGGGUGAAAGGCUAAACAAAUCUGGAGAUAGCUGGUUCUCCCCGAAAACUAUUGAGGUAGUGCCUCGUGUAUGACUCCAGGGGGUAGAGCACUGUUAUGGCUAGGGGGACAUGGCGUCUUACCAAACCAUGGCAAACUCCGAAUACUUGGAAGUUUGAGCACGGGAGACAGAGCACCGGGUGCUAACGUCCGGACUCAAGAGGGAAACAACCCAGACCGCCGGCUAAGGUCCCUAAUAUUGACUAAGUGGAAAACGAAGUGGAAAGGCUAAGACAGUCAGGAAGUUGGCUUAGAAGCAGCCAUCCUUCAAAGAAAGCGUAAUAGCUCACUGAUCGAGUCUUUCUGCGCGGAAGAUGUAACGGGGCUAAGUCAAUAACCGAAGCCGCGGAUUCACACUUAUGUGUGAGUGGUAGGGGAGCGUUCUGUAAGCCUGCGAAGGUGACUCGUAAGGGUUGCUGGAGGUAUCAGAAGUGCGAAUGCUGACAUGAGUAACGUUAAAGCGGGUGAAAAGCCCGCUCGCCGUAAGCCCAAGGUUUCCUGCUCUACGUUCAUCGGAGCAGGGUGAGUCGGCCCCUAAGGUGAGGCUGAGAAGCGUAACUGAUGGGAACAAGGUUAAUAUUCCUUGACCACCGCUGAAUGCGAAGGGGGGACGGAGUAUUGAAGAUCAUCCGGGUGUUGGAUAUCCCGGUUUGCGAGCGUAGGAGGCUGACAGGCAAAUCCGUCAGCGAAUCUCCGAGGCGAAGCAUCGAGCUCUCUUUUGAGCGAAGUGAUUGGAUGUGCUUCCAGGAAAAGCCUCUAAGCUCCAGUUCAGCGGGACCGUACCGCAAACCGACACUGGUGGGCGAGCUGAAUAUGCUCAGGCGCUUGAGAGAACUCAGGAGAAGGAACUCGGCAAAUUGACACCGUAACUUCGGGAUAAGGUGUGCCUUUGUAGCGUGGAGGGAGAAACACCCCGAGCGCGAAGAGGUCUCAGAUAAUCGGUGGCUGCGACUGUUUAUUAAAAACACAGCACUCUGCAAAGACGAAAGUCGACGUAUAGGGUGUGAUGCCUGCCCGGUGCUGGAAGAUUAAUUGAUGGGGUGCAAGCUCCUGAUCGAAGUCCCAGUAAACGGCGGCCGUAACAAUAACGGUCCUAAGGUAGCGAAAUUCCUUGUCGGGCAAGUUCCGACCUGCACGAA